AAAAGAGAUGAUGGCAGCCAUCUUUUGGCACUGACCUGAAAUGAAAAGAAUAUUCAUUGCUGAUCGCUU
rnacentral:snoRNA from 1 species